GUCGAGGGGUAGGAUACUUCGGGUAUCUGAGACCGGCGAACGGGUGAGUAACACGUAGGUGAUCUGCCACGAGGUUGGGGAUAGCCCAUGGAAACAUGGGGUAAUACCGAAUGAGCUCUUGUGACUGUGGUUAUGAGAGGAAAGAGGCUUUGGCCUCGCCUUGUGAUGAGCCUGCGGCUGAUUAGUUAGUUGGUGGGGUAACGGCCUACCAAGGCGACGAUCAGUAGCCGGCCUGAGAGGGUGACCGGCCACACUGGGACUGAGAUACGGCCCAGACUCCUACGGGAGGCAGCAGCUAAGAAUCUUCCGCAAUGGACGAAAGUCUGACGGAGCGACGCCGCGUGGGUGAAGAAGGCCGUGAGGUGGUAAAGCCCUUUUCUGCUUGAGGAAUAAGCCCCUGAGGGAAUGCGGGGGUGAUGACGGUAGGGCAGGAAUAAGCCCCGGCUAAUUACGUGCCAGCAGCCGCGGUAACACGUAUGGGGCGAGCGUUGUUCGGAAUUAUUGGGCGUAAAGGGCGUGUAGGCGGAUAUACAAGUCUGGUGUGAAAGACCGCAGCUCAACUGCGGGCACGCGCUGGAAACUGUAUGUCUUGAAUCCUUGAGGGGGAACUGGAAUUCCUGGUGUAGGGGUGAAAUCUGUAGAUAUCAGGAAGAACAUCGGUGGCGAAGGCGAGUUCCUGGCAAGUGAUUUGACGCUGAGGCGCGAAAGCGUGGGGAGCAAACAGGAUUAGAUACCCUGGUAGUCCACGCUUGUAACGAUGUGC
rnacentral:rRNA from 1 species